AUUGAACGCUGGCGGCAGGCCUAACACAUGCAAGUCGAACGAGUGGCGGACGGGUGAGUAAUGUCUGGGAAACUGCCUGAUGGAGGGGGAUAACUACUGGAACCGGUAGCUAAUACCGCAUACCAUCAGAUGUGCCCAGAUGGGAUUAGCUAGUUGGUGGGGUAACGGCUCACCAAGGCGACGAUCCCUAGCUGGUCUGCGAGGAUGACCAGCCACACGGGAACUGAGACACGGCCCAGACUCCUACGGGAGGCAGCAGGGGGGAAUAGGGCGCAAUUGGCGCAAGCCUGAGGCAGCGAUGCCGCGUGUAUGAAGAAGGCCUGCGGGUUGUAAAGUACUUUCAGCGGGGAGGCGGUACCCGCAGAAGAAGCACCGGCUAACGCCGUGCCAGCAGCCGCGGUAAUAC
rnacentral:rRNA from 1 species